AUUGAACGCUGGCGGCAGGCCUAACACAUGCAAGUCGAGCGGAUGACGGGAGCUUGCUCCUUGAUUCAGCGGCGGACGGGUGAGUAAUGCCUAGGAAUCUGCCUGGUAGUGGGGGACAACGUUUCGAAAGGAACGCUAAUACCGCAUACGUCCUACGGGAGAAAGCAGGGGACCUUCGGGCCUUGCGCUAUCAGAUGAGCCUAGGUCGGAUUAGCUAGUAGGUGAGGUAAUGGCUCACCUAGGCGACGAUCCGUAACUGGUCCGAGAGGAUUGUCAGUCACACUGGAACUGAGACACGGUCCAGACUCCAACGGGAGGCAGCAGUGGGGAAUAUUGGACAAUGGGCGAAAGCCUGAUCCAGCCAUGCCGCGUGUGUGAAGAAGGUCUUCGGAUUGUAAAGCACUUUAAGUUGGGAGGAAGGGCGGUAAGCUAAUACCUUGCUGUUUUGACGUUACCGACAGAAUAAGCACCGGCUAACUCUGUGCCAGCAGCCGCCGUAACAC
rnacentral:rRNA from 1 species